CUGGGGAUGGAGUGGAAGUACAACACAAAACCUCUACAGUACCUAAUCUGAGCCCUUGGGACAGAGUUAGUCCUGAGUCAUCUCCAGGAUCCCUCAUCUGUCCCAGAAUGUUCACAGAGAAUGGAGUUUUCAAGGAGCAGUGGAGAGGCCAGGUGACAGUGAGGCUGGUGUAGGAGUGAACUUGAUGGAAAACCAUGGCUAAUGAAGAAGAGCAGAGCCAUUUUGUAUGCUAGUGGAUGGUGGUGGAAUUGGGCCAAGCCAGACUGCAAAGGUUCCAGGGCUAGAGGGAAAAACCUGCAAUCCCAGAGUGUUAAAUAUGUCAUCGGAGGAUGAGUCAUGUGGACAGAAUGCAGAGGAUCAAAUUGGUGGAGUGGGCGUGGCUCUCAGAACAAUGCAGAGACUUCUCUUGGUGCCUGCUGUUUACAUAUUGAGACCCUGAAGUCCAGAGAGGGUAAGCCUGUGAUGCAGCCAUCACUUGCUGGAGUCUGAUCUGGAUCGCACAGUCCCCUUCACUUACUCACUCACAGGCAGGGGUUUCAUAGCACCUGGGCAAUAAAAAAAGCAUUGAUGAGGGAAGAGGCCUUGGCUCUUUCCAGGUGCUACUUUGGGACACUCCCUAAGUCUGUAAAGUGGGACACAAAGUGACAUCUGACUCUCAGGCUGGUGUAAGGCCAAGUUCCAGCUUCAUGAUUCUCUAAAAGGCAAUUUGCAAUGGAUGGGGCAGGGGAUCUAUUUUGACAGUAUUAUCAUUUAGUAUUUUUUUAAAACAUUCAUUUUUUAGUUGUAGGUAGACACAAUACAUUUAUUUUAUUUUUAUGUUAUGGUGAGGCUUGAACCCAAUGCCUCAUGCAUAAUAGAAGAACACUCUACCUCUAGGCAAAACCAUAGCCUUCAUUAAUUUUAUAUAUGGAAACAUAACUCCUUGCAUAAAAAAAAAAAAAAAAAAAAAAACUAUAGUACCAGGCUCUGUCCUAGGCAGAGAGGACACAGACAUGAACAAAACAGCAAGGAAUCUCUGCUCUUAUUUUCGUGGGGGCUACCAUUCCCCUGGACUGACCCAAGAAUUCAGGCACUAAAGAGACAUGAAGUACUGACCCCCUUUAGGCAUCUGAUCUAAUGUUACCAUCCAUGGCAAUGUUUUACCUUCUCAAUUAUUCUAAAACACACCCUUCUCCAUAUCAUUUAGCUGCCCCAAUCCUUUCCUAGCUGUGAGAUAAAGGUCUCCUUAAAGAUCCCUUCCUUGCUUGCUUCUCCAGUUGCAUCUCCUCACCCCUCUUUUAGGUUUCAAGAAUUCCUGUCUCAUCCCUACUUGUA